CCUACGGGUGACAGCAGUGAGGAAUAUUGGUCAAUGGUCGGGAGACUGAACCAGCCAAGCCGCGUGAGGGAUGAAGGUACAGAGUAUCGUAAACCUCUUUUGUCAGGGAACAAAGGCGGGGACGUGUCCCCGGCUGAGUGUACCUGAAGAAAAAGCAUCGGCUAACUCCGUGCCAGCAGCCGCGGUAAUACGGAGGAUGCGAGCGUUAUCCGGAUUUAUUGGGUUUAAAGGGUGCGCAGGCGGUCUGUUAAGUCAGCGGUCAAAGCCCGGGGCUCAACCCCGGCCCGCCGUUGAAACUGGCAGUCUCGAGUUGGAGAGAAGUAUGCGGAAUGCGCGGUGUAGCGGUGAAAUGCAUAGAUAUCGCGCAGAACUCCGAUUGCGAAGGCAGCAUGCCGGCUCCACACUGACGCUGAGGCACGAAAGCGUGGGUAUCGAACAGGAUUAGAUACCCUGGUAGUC
rnacentral:rRNA from 1 species